UACAGAGACUGCAAGCGUUAUUCGGAUUCACUGGGCGUAAAGGGUGCGCAGGCGGCCAAGUGUGUUAGGCGUGAAAGCCCGAGGCUUAACCUCGGAAUUGCACCUAAAACUACAUGGCUAGAGUACUGGAGAGGAGAGUGGAAUUCCCAGUGUAGAGGUGAAAUUCGUAGAUAUUGGGAAGAACACCGGUGGCGAAGGCGGCUCUCUGGACCGAGACUGACGCUGAGGCGCGAAAGCGUGGGGAGCAAACAGG
rnacentral:rRNA from 1 species